UACGUAGGGGGCUAGCGUUGUCCGGAAUCAUUGGGCGUAAAGCGCGUGUAGGCGGUCCGGUAAGUCCGCUGUGAAAGUCGGGGGCUCAACCCUCGAAUGCCGGUGGAUACUGUCGGGCUAGAGUGCGGAAGAGGCGAGUGGAAUUCCUGGUGUAGCGGUGAAAUGCGCAGAUAUCAGGAGGAACACCGGUGGCGAAGGCGGCAUCCUGGACCGGCAUUGACGCUGAGGCGCGAAAGCCAGGGGAGCAAACGGG
rnacentral:rRNA from 1 species